UACGGAGGGUGCAAGCGUUAUCCGGAUUCACUGGGUUUAAAGGGUGCGUAGGUGGGUUGGUAAGUCAGUGGUGAAAUCUCUGGGCUUAACCCGGAAAUUGCCAUUGAUACUAUAUAUCUUGAAUGCUGUGGAGGUAAGCGGAAUAUGUCAUGUAGCGGUGAAAUGCUUAGAUAUGACAUAGAACACCUAUUGCGAAGGCAGCUUACUACGCAGAUAUUGACGCUCAUGCACGCAAGCGUGGGGAUCAAACAGG
rnacentral:rRNA from 1 species